CCAUAUUCUGUGAGCAGGAAAGCAGGGGGAUCGCAAGACCUUGCGCUGAUUGAGCGGCCGAUAUCAGAUUAGCUAGUUGGUGAGGUAAAGGCUCACCAAGGCGACGAUCNGUANCGGGUCUGAGAGGAUGAUCCGCCACACUGGAACUGAGACACGGUCCGGACUCCUACGGGAGGCAGCAGUGGGGAAUUUUGGACAAUGGGCGCAAGCCUGAUCCAGCCAUGCCGCGUGAGUGAAGAAGGCCUUCGGGUUGUAAAGCUCUUUCGGCCGGGAAGAAAUCGCACAGGUUAAUACCCUGUGUGGAUGACGGUACCGGAAUAAGAAGCACCGGCUAACUACGUG
rnacentral:rRNA from 1 species